rnacentral:rRNA from 1 species
UGGGGAAUAUUGGACAAUGGGCGAAAGCCUGAUCCAGCCAUGCCGCGUGAGUGAUGAAGGCCCUAGGGUUGUAAAGCUCUUUUACCUGGGAAGAUAAUGACUGUACCAGGAGAAUAAGCCCCGGCUAACUUCGUGCCAGCAGCCGCGGUAAUACGAAGGGGGCUAGCGUUGUUCGGAAUCACUGGGCGUAAAGCGCACGUAGGCGGAUUUUUAAGUCAGGGGUGAAAUCCCGGGGCUCAACCUCGGAACUGCCUUUGAUACUGGAGAUCUUGAGUCCGGGAGAGGUGAAUGGAACUGCGAGUGUAGAGGUGAAAUUCGUAGAUAUUCGCAAGAACACCAGUGGCGAAGGCGGCUCACUGGCCCGGAACUGACGCUGAGGUGCGAAAGCGUGGGGAGCAAACA